GCCUUCAUGGUGUAACGGUAGCGCAUUCGGCGCGUAUUCGAGAGAUCCAGGUUCGAGUCCUGGCGAGGGCA
rfam:Stegodyphus mimosarum contig98565, whole genome shotgun sequence.